rnacentral:pre_miRNA from 1 species
UACUCAAAAAGCUGUCAGUCACUUAUGUUACAUGUGACUGACACCUCUUUAGAUGAA